rnacentral:tRNA from 1 species
UGCCGGGUCGUCUAAUGGUAGGACGCAUGGUUCUGGUCCAUGUAGUCUAGGUUCGAGUCCUAGCCCGGCAG